AUACGUAGGGGGCAAGCGUUGUCCGGAAUCACUGGGCGUAAGCGCAUGUAGGCGGGAUAUUAAGUCAGGUGUGAAAACUAUGGGCUCAACCUGUAGAUUGCAUCUGAAACUGGUAUUCUUGAGUAUUGGAGAGGAAAGUGGAAUUCCUAGUGUAGCGGUGAAAUGCGUAGAUAUUAGGAGGAACACCAGUGGCGAAGGCGACUUUCUGACCAAAAACUGACGCUGAGAUGCGAAAGCGUGGGGAGCAAACAGGAUUAGAUCCCCUGGUAGUCCACGCCGUAAACGAUGGGUACUAGGUGUUGGGUGUCAAAGCUCAGUGCCGCAGUUAACACAAUAAGUACCCCGCCUGGGGAGUACGGUCGCAAGACUGAAACUCAAAGGAAUUGACGGGG
rnacentral:rRNA from 1 species